rnacentral:rRNA from 1 species
UACGUAGGGACCAAGCGUUGUUCGGAUUUACUGGGCGUAAAGGACGCGUAGGCGGCGCGGUAAGUCACUUGUGAAAUCUCUGAGCUUAACUCAGAACGGCCAAGUGAUACUGCAGUGCUAGAGUGUGGAAGGGGCAAUCGGAAUUCUUGGUGUAGCGGUGAAAUGCGUAGAUAUCAAGAGGAACACCUGAGGUGAAGACGGGUUGCUGGGCCAACACUGACGCUGAGGCGCGAAAGCCAGGGGAGCAAACGGG